GACGAACGCUGGCGGCGUGCCUAAUACAUGCAAGUAGAACGCUGAAGGAGGAGCUUGCUUCUCUGGAUGAGUUGCGAACGGGUGAGUAACGCGUAGGUAACCUGCCUGGUAGCGGGGGAUAACUAUUGGAAACGAUAGCUAAUACCGCAUAAUAGUAGAUGUUGCAUGACAUUUACUUAAAAGGUGCAAUUGCAUCACUACCAGAUGGGCCUGCGUUGUAUUAGCUAGUUGGUGGGGUAACGGCUCACCAAGGCGACGAUACAUAGCCGACCUGAGAGGGUGAUCGGCCACACUGGGACUGAGACACGGCCCAGACUCCUACGGGAGGCAGCAGUAGGGAAUCUUCGGCAAUGGACGAAAGUCUGACCGAGCAACGCCGCGUGAGUGAAGAAGGUUUUCGGAUCGUAAAGCUCUGUUGUAAGAGAAGAACGAGUGUGAGAGUGGAAAGUUCACACUGUGACGGUAUCUUACCAGAAAGGGACGGCUAACUACGU
rnacentral:rRNA from 1 species